UGGCAAAGAGUCGGUAAGUCCCCGUAAUAAUAGCCUACGGCGAUCACCUUCUAAAUCUUCAUUAUGGACAGUUAUAUCUUCAGGAAGCCACCUUAGCAUCAUUGAGACCAGUUCUGCUUGUGCAGGACCCUUAUUAGAAAGAGAUACUAGAGAUGGAAAGAGCUCCUGCCAUAAACUUAAACCUUCUCUCCUAGCUAUCUCGGCAACAAGAGCUGAUGUCUGACUUUUCAAAGCCCACUCUUCACUGGAAUUAGUAAUUUCAGACAUCAAAUCAACAGCUACACUUGCAAAGUUCCUUCGCUCAUCAGGGUUUAA
rnacentral:misc_RNA from 1 species